UUUCUUCUUUUCAUGCCGCCACCAUGGGAAGCGCCCACAAAUGUGUCAUUUCACACUGGCAGCAGGCUGGCGGAGCUAGCUGUGGUGCUUGUUUUCUCUGACUUUGCUGUUUCACCGUGUUUAGAUAACGUGUCAUCUGCAAAAAGUUGCACUCAUUUUCCUGCUUUAGCUUUGUACUCACACACACACACACACACACACACACACACACACACACACACACACACGUGUGUGUUAGUUUAGUCUGUUUCAACCUCUCUUCGUGUGGAAACACACAUAUCUAGAACUAUUCUUUAAGGAUGUCUGCAUUUCACACAACUGUCUAAUAGGAUAAAAUAAUUGACAUUGUAUACCCAAAGGUCAAGUCUGGAUAAACGUGUAUAUGAUCUCCAACUUGAAUGCAAAGCCAAGGCAUAUAAUUGUGUGGUGUGUCAACUCUAAUUUGUUUCCUCUCUGUGCAGGGGGAUGACUGAAGCUAUCACCUUGCUAAUCCUUGCUGUCCAAACUGGCCUCAUUGAGCUGCAGGAGUUUGUGGAAGCACUUCCGUGCAGUUUCUCUCUGUCCCUUCCUGCUGACCUUUCCAGCGUACAUGGCUUAUAUGAUCUGCCAGUUCUUCCACAUGGACUUCUGGCUUCUCAUCAUCAUCUCCUCCUCAAUCCUCACCUCUCUCCAGGUGCUUGGCACUCUGUUGAUCUGUUGUUCUCUUCAUGGUGGAGGAGUUUCGUAAAGCUCCAGUGGAGAACGUGGAUGAAGUCAUAUAUUGUGUAAAUGGGACCUACAGAUGCUGGAGUUUCUGGUUGCGGUGUGCGUGGUGUGCUAUGGUGUAUCAGAGACUGUAUUUGGCGAGUGGAGUGUGAUGGGAAGCACCAUCAUCUUGGUCCACUCGUACUAUAACGUCUGGCUCAGAGCCCAGCUGGGCUGGCAGAGCUUCCUGCUCAGGAGAGAUGCUGUAAACAAGACAAAAAGCCUCCCCACAGCUAGCAAUACACAGCUGGAGCAGUAUAAUGA